GGCAACCCUGACGGAGCAAUACCGCGUGAGGGAAGAAGGCUUUUGGGUCGUAAACCUCUUUUGUUAGGGAAGAACACAAUGACGGUACCUAACAAAUCAGCAUCGGCUAACUCCGUGCCAGCAGCCGCGGUAAGACGGAGGAUGCAAGCGUUAUCCGGAAUCAUUGGGCGUAAAGCGUCCGCAGGUGGGAGUUCAAGUCGAUUGUCAAAGGCAGUAGCUUAACUACUGAAAGGCAGUGGAAACUGAACAACUAGAGUGCGGUAGGGGUAGAGGGAAUUCCCGGUGUAGCGGUGAAAUGCGUAGAGAUCGGGAAGAACACCAGUGGCGAAAGCGCUCUGCUGGACCGGCACUGACACUGAGGGACGAAAGCUAGGGGAGCG
rnacentral:rRNA from 1 species